UCCUCUUUACAGAGGCAGUUUGUCCCGAGUCCCCGGCAUUACCCGCUGGUAACAGAUCAUGAGGGUUGCGCUCGUUGCGGGACUUAACCCAACAUUUCACAACACGAGCUGACAACAGCCAUGCACCACCUGUGCAGCACCCUUGACGGCGACCGCUUUUCGGCGGCUUGCAGCUGCAUGUCAAGCCCUGGUAAGGUUCUUCGCGUUGCAUCGAAUUAAGCCACAUGCUCCACCGCUUGUGCGGGCCCCCGCCAAUUCCUUUGAGUUUUAGCCUUGCGGCCGUACUCCCCAGGCGGGGCACUUAAUGCGUUAGCUGCGGCACGGGGGAGUCGACACCCCCCACACCUAGUGCCCAUCGUUUACGGCGUGGACUAC
rnacentral:misc_RNA from 1 species